CCCUGCAUUCGUAAGUGAUCAGGGGUUACCCAUGCCCUGGUCAUUGGUAGUGCGGGCAGAGGAGAUGUGGAAAGAACCAUCUUGUGUUUGGAAGGUCCACACCCAUGCCUUUCAGUGCUGGGAGCUUCCCCAUA
ensembl:snoRNA SNORA71 Small nucleolar RNA SNORA71